GGACCGUGGCACUUCCCUUAUACUUCUUCAACUGAAUUCAUAUCAUAAACAACCUUCUUAUGCCAUAAAGAACAGGUUUUCUGUUAAGGGAGGCUGCUGUUCAGAGGAAAUUGCAUUUUGCCGUAGUUUUGAUGUUUUGCGAAGCCAUGUUACAGAACAGUAAUUGCAGAGCAGAGGAAAGGGAGAAACUGUUUUGCAGAACCAAAUAUUAACCUGGAAACAAGAGGAAUCCAAACUGGGCUAAAAGA